CCCUUAGAUGUUCUGGGCCGCACGCGUGCUACACUGAGUGGAUCAGCGGGUCAGGUUGCGCGAAAGCGUUUCCUAAUCUUUAAAUCCGCUCGUGAUGGGGAUUGACGGUUGCAAUUUUCUGUCAUGAACGAGGAAUACCUUGUAAGCGCGGGUCAUCAUCCCGCGCUGAAUACGUCCCUGCCCUUUGUACACACCGCCCGUCGCUCCUACCGAUUGAGUGGUCCGGUGAGGCUUUGGGAUCUGAGCGGAAAGAGCGUUUCGCUGUUUCUGCUCGGAAAACUCAGUCGAACCUUAUCAUUUAGAGGAGGGAGAAGUCGUAACA
rnacentral:rRNA from 1 species